rnacentral:misc_RNA from 1 species
AAAUGUCCACCGCGACCUCCACAAUUAACGCCAGGGUCCCCACCUCGACUAGAUCCUCCGAUGACAUCGUCGACGCAACGCCGUUGAUUUCCCCUGCCUCCCAUGGCGAAUCCGGGAACAAUUCCGCCACUCGAUCCGCCCGCCGUCAAUCCCUGCGCGACGCCGCGCGGUUCCUGCGUCGCGCCAGCAGUCGUCGCAUGAUGCGGGAGCCCUCGAUGCUGGUGCGCGAGACUGCCGCCGAGCAGCUCGAGGAACGGCAGAGCGACUGGGCGUAUUCGAAACCUGUGGUGAUUCUCGACAUUAUCUGGAACUUUGCGUUUGUGGCGGUGGCUGUGGCGGUGGCUGAUAUUAAGCAGGGAAGAGCAUCCCAAUAUGCCAUUGAGGCUGUGGAUUGCUGGGUAUGCGUUUCAGUGCGUGUUGCAUAUGCUUUGUGUGUGUGUGGAGUAUAGGAGGCGGCGGAGGAGGCGAGUGGGAUUUGUAGGGAUGGAGCGAGGGCUUGGAAGUGAUGGGAAUUCGAGUUCCGGAUCGAGAGGGGAUUCUGGGGAGUAUGUUAGGGUCGAGAGGGGAGUAUGUUUCGUUGGCUCAACUGGAGGAAGAUGGAACCAGCAGUGUUGCAAAGCAUCUGGAAUCUGCGAAUACAAUGUUUUCUUUUAUCUGGUGGAUCAUUGGCUUUUACUGGGUAUCUGCUGGUGGCCAAACUUUGGCGCAUGGUUCCCCUCAACUCUAUUGGCUUUGUAUAAUUUUUCUGGGUUUUGAUGUGUUCUUUGUCGUUUUCUGUGUUGCUCUGGCAUGUGUUAUCGGCAUUGCUGUUUGCUGCUGUCUUCCCUGUAUUAUUGCAAUCUUAUAUGCUGUCGCUGAUCAGGAAGGAGCAUCUAAGGAAGACAUAGACCAGCUCCCAAAAUUCAAAUUCCGUAGAAUUGGUGAUAAUGAGAAACUUGCUGCCGAGGCACAAGGACCUCUGGGUGGAAUAAUGACCGAAUGUGGCACAGAUUCACCAGUGGAACAUGUUCUUUCAGAGGAGGAUGCGGA